rnacentral:lncRNA from 1 species
CCUAAUUCUAAUCCAGAUCGUUGGUUGUGGAAAUGGUCACCUCGAGAAAGGCUGCAGAAGCAACCAUCCUUGCCAAGAACUGGCUGCUGCAUUCUGAUAAUGAUAAUCUCUGUCAUUUGCUGAAAAACUUUCCUAGUCCUUUGUGAGGUGCAAAUGAAUGAAGAAUUAUUACUCAAAGUUAUUUUGCUAAAGUUUGGGCGACAAAGUUUUCAGACUCCGCUUCAGACUUCUAAAUGAAAGAAGUCUUUAGUUUCCAAUAACAGCCUUUUUAAUCUAUUGUGAAAAAGCUCAUGAAGCUUCU